rnacentral:rRNA from 1 species
AGCAGCCGCGGUAAUUCCAGCUCCAAUAGCGUAUAUUAAAGUUGUUGCAGUUAAAAAGCUCGUAGUUGAAUUUCGGGAUUCUACCGUCGGUCGGGCUAACAAGUCUGUACUGGUGUGUAGAAUUUCUACCUUCUGGGGAACUAUCAUGUUAUUAAUUUAGCGUGGUGGGAAACCAGGACCUUUACCUUGAAAAAAUUAGAGUGUUCAAAGCAGGCUUACGUCUGAAUACAUUAGCAUGGAAUAAUAGAAUAGGACGGUGGUCCUGUUUUGUUGGUUUCUGAAUCACCGUAAUGAUUAAUAGGGAUAGUUGGGGGCAUUAGUAUUCAAUUGUCAGAGGUGAAAUUCUUGGAUUUAUUGAAGACUAACUUCUGCGAAAGCAUUUGCCAAGGAUGUUUUCAUUAAUCAAGAACGAAAGUUAGGGGAUCGAAGACGAUCAGAUACCGUCGUAGUCUUAACCAUAAACUAUGCCGACUAGGGAUCGGACGAUGUUAAAUUUUAUUGACUCGUUCGGCGCCUUACG